GUGCUCACUUCGGCAACACAUAUACUAAAAUUGAAGUGAUACAGAGAAGAUUAGCAUGGCCCCUGAGCAAGGAUGAAAUUCUCUACCCAUUAAACAGUAACUCCUCGUUAUU
ensembl:snRNA U6 U6 spliceosomal RNA